rnacentral:lncRNA from 1 species
UGAGGAAGCUGAACGUAUCGGUGUAGACCAUGUGGCCCGGAUGACAGCUACAGGCAGUGGGGAGAACUCCACUGUGGCUGAACACCUCAUAGCUCAGCACAGCGCCAUCAAGAUGCUGCACAGCCGUGUGAAGCUCAUUUUAGAGUACGUCAAGGCCUCUGAAGCAGGAGAGGUUCCCUUCAACCAUGAGAUCCUGCGGGAGGCCUAUGCCCUAUGCCACUGUCUUCCAGUUCUCAGCACUGACAAGUUCAAGACAGACUUUUAUGAUGUGAGUGUUAAUACCCUUGAUGGGGAGGUGGGGCUCACAACCACCUCAGGCAGGUGAAACUCAGUGUCAUUGGCUAAUAUGAGGGACCCCUGGGGAACUGGUUCUUUCUGUUCCCUCCCAGCAAUGCAAUGACGUGGGGCUUAUGGCCUACCUCGGCACCAUCACCAAAACGUGCAACACAAUGAACCAGUUUGUGAACAAG